AAUUGGCAGCGGAUGCUGGAUGAGCUCCAAAAUCUCACUGGGAAAAAAAUAGCUGUGUUGGUUUGUGUUCAAACUGCAGUGAAGAUGGGGAUUGAUGGUUGAUCAUAUUGACUAAGAUAUUGAUGUGGCUUCUUUGGGAUGCCAAGCACCUGCACUGUCCUGAUCCCCAGGGCUUCUGAUCAUCAAAGGGAAGUAGUUGUAGAAUCAUAUUCAUAUGAAAAUACUUGAACUAAAUUAAAAAUAUUUUCAUGUACUUCAACUGCUGAAUAGAAUUUUACAGUCCUUGAUGGGAAUAGGUUGAGCUCUGAUUACCUUUUUCCUAGUCAAUGCAUAUUAAAUAAUAACAAUUGCAUUCCACUAAUUUAGUUUGAUAACAGAUGAGACAUAGAGAAAAUAAAGAUGUGGCCAUGUGGGCACAUCUUUCUUAAUUCAUCUCCAAAAAAAAUGUUUGUUUUUAACUAUUCAGAGCAUAAAGGUUCCAAUAAACAACAAUAUGUAUUUUUUUUUAAUGUCUCAGAUUCUUCAGCCUACUGAAACACUGUUUAUUGCUUGUAGCUUAACUGUUCCUUUCUUUAUCUUUCAGGCACAAUCAGGACUGGCAACUGAAGAGUCUGGACUGAAACUUGCCUUGAAUCAUGGUAAAUCUGUUGGCUUGGUCAAGCCUAAUGACCAGAUAGUGGUCUUCCAGAAAAUUGGGGACUCAUCAGUUGUCAAGAUUGUUGAGCUUGGAGACUAGCUAUUGCAAAAUUUCAAGAAUUUAUUUUCAUCUCUUUACUUUAGUUCCAUUAUUGGAAACAUGGGUGGUAACAUCUCCAUCUUCCCUGGUCUAUUAAUUUUAAAAAUUUC